AAAGGUUUAAACACAAUCAAAAAUCUAAACUGACACUAACUAAAAAUAGUAAAAAACAUAAACCGUCAUUUUGAAUACUGAUUUAUCCCCAAUUGUCCCCAUUACCGGUUUAUCUCAAAUCCGGCCGGAAUUCCGGCCGGAAUUUUUGUCCAAAUCCGGUAAAUCCGGUUCCGGCCGGAUUUGAAAAUACCAAAUCCGGUGCACCCCUAGU